rnacentral:rRNA from 1 species
AUGAAAACUAAUCGGGCACCUGGCCCGGAUGACAUUCCUGUUGAGUUCUAUCAACAUUGCUGGGAAGUGGUUGCCCAGGAUUUAUGGCAUAUGUUUGAUUGGUUCUAUGAGGGCAAGUUGGAUGUGCAAUGCCAGAAUUAUGGCAUUAUAACCUUGUUGCCUAAAUCUUCUAAUGCUAAGAGGAUACAACAAUAUAGACCCAUCUGUUUGUUGCGUUGCCCAUACAAACUGCUCACAAAAGCCAUGGAUAUUAGGUCUAGUAAAUAUGCAAAUAAGCUGUUCAGUAUUCAACAAAAUGCCUUUAUUAAAGGGAGACAUAUUGUGGAUGGCAUUCUAUCUUUACAUGAGAUUUUACAUUAUACUCAUGUCAAAAAACAAGUGGGUAUAAUUCUCAAACUUGACUUCGAGAAAGCCUAUGACAAAGUUAAUUGGGAUUUUUUACUCGACUGUCAUAGGAAAUGGGGUUUUGAUUCUAAAUGGUGUGGGUGGGUAUCUCAAAUCCUUAAGAAUGGCACAGUUAGUGUCAAAAUCAAUGAUGAGGUGGGGCCAUAUAUUCAAAGUGCUAAGGGGGUGAGACAGGGUGAUCCUCACUCCCCUUUCCUCUUUAAUUUGGCAGCUGAUUGCCUCACUAAGAUGGUGCUUGCGGCUCAAAAAACGGUCUUGUUAAAGGGUUGGCUGUCGAUCUUAUUGAGGAGGGGGUGGGCAUCCUACAAUACGCAGAUGACACUGUGCUAUGUUUUGAACAUGAUAUUGAGAAAGCUGUCAAUAUCAAGCUCUUGCUUUAUCUCUUUGAACUCAUGUCAGGGCUAA